CGGAGGUGCGUCAUCUGUUCUGUGCCUGCGCUCUUCCUGUUAUUGGCAUUCAAUGGAGGUCUGUGUAUAAUACAUAGCCGUGCGGAUCUUUUAGCACCGCUUGUGUCGCUUGUGGGGCUUUGUGUACACUAAGGAGCUUAUUGCAAAGCAGCCGUUACGUUCGCCUAGUCCCAGCCUUCCCAUGUGUCUACCACUGGUGUUGGCGCAGCGUUUAGCGGCGUAGUCCAAUACAUACUGCCUGGCAUUAUCCCUUUGAUCUCUCGCGGAUAUUGACGUCAGCUCUGCUAGUUGGUGUGGUGAACUGCUGUGUUACCCGGAGCUGUGUGUCCGACGGCAGUGAGACUUUCCCUCUGUCUUGGUUAUAAUUUUUCCGAGUCACCGUGUGCUGUGUUUGCUGUGUGAGCACCAACGAUAAAAUCACUGGUAUUGGAAUGUGUGUGCGUGUGUAUGUGUGCACCUAGCGUGAUUUCUUGUGCUUUCUUUCCUUAGCUCUUCUGAUGCCAAUAGACUGCAGCCCUGUAAUUGUGAAGUGUUUUUGUGAUUUACCAGUCUCAGCUAUUAGCUGAGUGAUGACCAUUUUAUCCUUGUCUGUCUUUUAAUAUUUGUACAAUAAAUUACAACUCAAAUUUUGCUACCCACGUCUCUUGCUCAUUUCAUUCAGUGGAAUGAACCUGGGUUCCUUAACGUUUAAGUGAACUGUGAUUCCCUGGUGUAGUUUCAGGGUGGCGUAGUCUAUUUUUAUACUUUUAAGUGUUGGUCAUUACUUUCAAAAAGACCAUUCUGCCACAUUUUGGCGUAGUCGGCAGGGCCCACUAAAUUGAACAGAGACGUGGGUGAAUAUUACUUUACCAGCUGGUAUUGCCCUUAUUGAUUUUGUUGUUAUUUGCAGGAACAAGACAGCAGCGUAGACUCUUUUUGAAGGGUCUGUUUGGCCUUCCCUCUUGGUUGCAUUCCGGUCCCCAUUUAUUCCCUGUCCUGCCUUACCUAGCGGUAAGUGUUUUGUUAAAGGUUAACUAUGGCAGAAGAAUUACAAGAACUUAGGGAUCUUGUGGUCCAAUUAAGGGCUGAUAAUGAACGCCUUAGACACGAACAGACCCAAAUUGUCAUUCCAGGUCCCAGUACAACUCCUAUUUCUACCACCUUACCUUCUGGUGCACAGCAAUCUGCUGGUGCAAGUGCCCCACCUACUGAGCGAUUUGUGUUUGUACCCCGAGAUAGAAAA